rnacentral:tRNA from 1 species
GGAGAGGUGUCCGAGUGGCUUAAGGAGCACGCUUGGAAAGCGUGUAAAGGGGCAACUCUUUCGCGGGUUCGAAUCCCGCUCUCUCCG